GCAGUGGGAGCACCCUUUGGGGUGUGACUGCGUACCUUUUGUAUAAUGGGUCAGCGACUUAUAUUCUGUAGCAAGGUUAACCGUAUAGGGGAGCCGGAGGGAAACCGAGUCUUAACCGGGCGUUAAGUUGCAGGGUAUAGACCCGAAACCCGGUGAUCUAGCCAUGGGCAGGUUGAAGGUUGGGUAACACUAACUGGAGGACCGAACCGACUAAUGUUGAAAAAUUAGCGGAUGACCUGUGGCUGGGGGUGAAAGGCCAAUCAAACCGGGAGAUAGCUGGUUCUCCCCGAAAGCUAUUUAGGUAGCGCCUCGUGAAUUCAUCUCCGGGGGUAGAGCACUGUUUCGGCUAGGGGGCCAUCCCGGCUUACCAACCCGAUGCAAACUGCGAAUACCGGAGAAUGUUAUCACGGGAGACACACGGCGGGUGCUAACGUCCGUCGUGAAGAGGGAAACAACCCAGACCGCCAGCUAAGGUCCCAAAGUCAUGGUUAAGUGGGAAACGAUGUGGGAAGGCCCAGACAGCCAGGAUGUUGGCUUAGAAGCAGCCAUCAUUUAAAGAAAGCGUAAUAGCUCACUGGUCGAGUCGGCCUGCGCGGAAGAUGUAACGGGGCUAAACCAUG
rnacentral:rRNA from 1 species